rnacentral:rRNA from 1 species
UACAAAGGUCCCAAGCGUUGUUCGGAUUCACUGGGCGUAAAGGGUGCGUAGGCGGUCGGGUAAGUUUGAUGUGAAAUCUCUGGGCUUAACCCAGAAAUGGCAUUGAAUACUAUUCGGCUAGAGAGUCGGAGGGGGGACUGGAAUACUUGGUGUAGCAGUGAAAUGCGUAGAUAUCAAGUGGAACACCAGUGGCGAAGGCGAGUCCCUGGACGAUUUCUGACGCUGAGGCACGAAAGCUAGGGGAGCAAACAGG